AUUGAACGCUGGCUGCAGGCCUAACACCUGCAAGUCGAACGAGUGGCGGACGGGUGAGUAAUUUCUGGGAAACUGCCUGAUGGAGGGGGAUAACUACUGGAAACGGUAGCUAAUACCGCAUACCAUCGGAUGUGCCCAGAUGGGAUUAGCUAGUCGGUGGGGUAAAGGCUCACCUAGGCGACGAUCCCUAGCUGGUCUGAGAGGAUGACCAGCCACACUGGAACUGAGAAACGGUCCAGACUCCUACGGGAGGCAGCAGUGGGGAAUAUUGCAAAAUGGGCGAAAGCCUGAUGCAGCCAUGCCGCGUGUAUGAAGAAGGCCUUCGGGUUGUAAAGUACUGUCAGCGGGGAGGCGGUACCCACAGAAGAAGCACCGGCUAACUCCGUGCCAGCAGCCGCGGUAAUAC
rnacentral:rRNA from 1 species